UCUAAUCACUGAAGUUAUAAUUAUUAUCAUCAGCUGAGAGAACCAGUGUUGGCUCCACAAUAGGGAUGAGCUUAAGUCUGGGAAUAAUCUAUUGGCUAAGGUUGCUACUGUGACUCAUCUCAUCUGACAACUCCAUCUGAUAUUCAGAUUGAAGCAUUCUUUUUCUUUAAAAAGAUCCAUUCUCCACAACAAUUCUCUACAAGAAGCAGACCAGGAUGGACUAAUCAAUGAGAACACUUUCUUCUGUUGUUGUGUUCAAGCAACAGGAUCCCUGGCCCUGGGUCUGAGGGAGAAUGAGAAUGAUGUUGAUUAUCCUACCAAAUGCUCUACGUGGAUCACAUCAGGCUAACUGCAUCUGUCAUAGCUCCUCUCAAGCAUUUGGCUCUGAUGAUCUGGAGAUCAUGUUUCCUAAGGGAAGGAUGUUUUCACCAAGGGACUCAAGAUUGAUUCCGUUAAGCCAGAAGUUGAGCAUUUUGUGCUCCUUCUGCUACUGAAGCACUAGGUAAAAAGAAGAGGUUUGCUGCAUUAGUGGGGCUGAUUUGUCUUGAUCAGCUUUCUACUACUCAAUGGUAGCAGAGAGAAGUAGGCCUGGAAUUCAGGAGAUUCUCUUACUACAUCUGUGUUUUCUGGUAAAAAGUAAUAGAAAAAUAGAACUACUUCACACACGGUCAUUACUUAGGACACAGGUUCUUCUGGGAAUAAAUCUGAGAACUCACCAGACAAAAAACUAUGAUUAGCUGUCAUGCUGGCUGAGGAUGAAGGGAAUGUGGAAGGGGUAGUGAUAAGGGAAGUUACAAAUACCAACUAUGACAAUGUGACCUUAUACAAAAACCAAGGAUUGUAGUGAGUAUUCAU